rnacentral:ncRNA from 2 species
CCUAGCGGGGUUUUUUCAGGUGCCCUGCGUCGUCGUACACAGGGUGAAACGGGAAGUCGGUGCGUCCAUUUCGGACUAGUCCGACGCUGCCCCCGCAACGGUAAGCGAACGUAGGGUUAAGUAAGCCACUGUGCCAAUCCGGCAUGGGAAGGCAUGCCCAUCCAGCCCCAAGGCUGGCGUCGCAAGCCCGGAGACCGGCCUGAUCACGUUUUGGCAA